rnacentral:rRNA from 1 species
GUUUUCAUUAAUCAAGAACGAAAGUUAGGGGAUCGAAGACGAUCAGAUACCGUCGUAGUCUUAACCAUAAACGAUGCCGACCAGCGAUUAGGAGACGUUGAAUACAAAACACCACCAUCGGUUGCGGUCGUCCUUGGCGUCUCGGUUUCGGCCGGGGCGCGGGGAUGGCUUAGCCCGGUGGCACCGGUGAAUGACUCCCCUAGCAGCUUGUGAGAA